CAGCACCUCAAGUGGUCAGGAUGAUUAUUGGGCCUAAAGCAUCCGUAGCCGGCGCUGUAAGUUUUCGGUUAAAUCUGUACGCUCAACGUACAGGGUGCCGGGAAUACUGCAGCGCUAGGGAGUGGGAGAGGUAGACGGUACUCGGUAGGAAGGGGUAAAAUCCUUUGAUCUAUUGAUGACCACCUGUGGCGAAGGCGGUCUACCAGAACACGUCCGACGGUGAGGGAUGAAAGCUGGGGGAGCAAACCGGAUUAGAUACCCGAGUAGUCC
rnacentral:rRNA from 1 species